CGGAGAGGGAGCAUGAGAAACGGCUACCACUUCUAAGGAAGGCAGCAGGCGCGCAAAUUACCCAAUCCUGACUCAGGGAGGUAGUGACAAGAAAUAACAAUAAACCGGCUUAUGCCGGUUUAAUUGGAAUGAGUACAAUUUAAACAUCUUAACGAGGAACAAUUGGAGGGCAAGUCUGGUGCCAGCAGCCGCGGUAAUUCCAGCUCCAAUAGCGUAUACUAAAGUUGUUGCAGUUAAAAAGCUCGUAGUUGGAUUUCUGCGGGGACGGAGCGGCCGGUCGCAACUUGCGACUCGAGCUAGCGCUUUCCCCGCAUCCUGCCGCGAACCGUGCUACCAUUAGCUUGGUGGCGCUGGGGAUCGGCUCGAUUACUUUGAGAAAAAUAGAGUGUUCAAAGCAGGCCACACGCCUUGAAUAAGUUAGCAUGGAAUAAUGACUAAGGACUUCGGUUCUAUUUUGUUGGUGUUCGGGACUGAAGUAAUGAUUGAUAGGGACAGUUGGGGCGGUCUGUAUUCCAAAGCGAGAGGUGAAAUUCUUAGACCUUCGGAAGACAAACAGCUGCGAAAGCGUUCCGCAAGGAUGUUCCCUUUGAUCAAGAACGAAAGUUGGGGGAUCGAAGACGAUCAGAUACCGUCGUAGUCUCAACUAUAAACUAUACCAGCUAGGGAUCGGUCAACGUUUAAUCAUUCGACUUGAUCGGCACCUUAUGAGAAAUCAAAGCAUCUGGGUUCCGGGGGGAGUAUGGUCGCAAGGCUGAAACUUAAAGGAAUUGACGGAAGGGCACCACCAGCCGUGGAGCCUGUGGCUUAAUUUGACUCAACACGGGAAAACUUACCAGGUCCAGACAUAGUAAGGAUUGACAGAUUGAUAGCUCUUUCUUGAUUCUGUGGUGGUGGUGCAUGGCCGUUCUUAGUUGGUGGAGUGAUUUGUCUGGUUAAUUCCGUUAACGAACGAGACCCCAGCCUGCUAAAUAGCGCGGCUGAGCUUUGCUCGGUGCGAGCUUCUUAGAGGGACUAUGAUGCGCGAUAGCACAUGGAAGUUUGGGGCAAUAACAGGUCUGUGAUGCCCUUAGAUGUUCUGGGCCGCACACGGGCUACACUGGCGCCUGCAACGAGCAUAUCAGCUGGCCCGAGAGGGUCUUGGCUAAUCUUUUGAACCGGCGCCGUGCUUGGGAUUGACCAUUGCAAUUGUUGGUCAUGCAACGAGGAAUGCCUUGUAAACGCGAGUCAUCAGCUCGCAUUGAAUACGUCCCUGCCCUUUGUACACACCGCCCGUCGCUCCUACCGAUGAAUGUUCCGAUGAAAUUUUCGGAGAGCGCCAGAGAACGGGGCUCCGCCUUGCAGAUCUGGAGGCUCAAAGUCACUUAAAUCUGAACAUUUCGAGGAAGGAGAAGUCGUAACAAGGUAACC
rnacentral:rRNA from 1 species